GACGAACGCUGGCGGCGUGCUUAACACAUGCAAGUCGAACGGAAAGGCCCUGCUUUUGUGGGGUGCUCGAGUGGCGAACGGGUGAGUAACACGUGAGUAACCUGCCCUUGACUUUGGGAUAACUUCAGGAAACUGGGGCUAAUACCGGAUAGGAGCUCCUGCUGCAUGUUGGGGGUUGGAAAGUUUCGGCGGUUGGGGAUGGACUGGCGGCUUAUCAGCUUGUUGGUGGGGUAGUGGCUUACCAAGGCUUUGACGGGUAGCCGGCCUGAGAGGGUGACCGGCCACAUUGGGACUGCGAUACGGCCCAGUCUCCUACGGGAGGCAGUAGUGGGGAAUAUUGCACAAUGGGCGGAAGCCUGAUGCAGCAACGCCGCGUGCGGGAUGACGGCCUUCGGGUUGUAAACCGCUUUCGCCUGUGACGAAGCGUGAGUGACGGUAAUGGGUAAAGAAGCACCGGCUAACUACGUG
rnacentral:rRNA from 1 species